rnacentral:rRNA from 1 species
CGGACGGGGUGAGUAAUGUCUGGGGAAACUGCCCCGAUGGAGGGGGAUAACUACUGGAAACGGUAGCUAAUACCGCAUAACGUCGCAAGACCAAAGAGGGGACCUUAGGGCCUCUUGCCAUCGGAUGUGCCCAGAUGGGAUUAGCUAGUAGGUGGGGUAAUGGCUCACCUAGGCGACGAUCCCUAGCUGGUCUGAGAGGAUGACCAGCCACACUGGAACUGAGACACGGUCCAG